CCAUUACAAAAGGCACUUAAAAAAAGAAAAAAAAAAAAAAACGAAAGAUAGUUCACACGAACAAGUAAAAAAAUGGAGGGGGAUUGGGCGCACCAAGAUCAUAGCAACAGCACAUCUGAUAGACUGCAAUUGAAUUGAAGAUGAGAGAGAAUUGAAGUGUGAGAAAUGGAGGAACACGAAGAGCCAUCGUCUCCAGGACUCAGUCCGGUACAACUCAAAGAAUGCAUAGAGGAGGUGCUCAACUUUACACUAGCGUCCUUAAUCGACGAAACCCUAGGAUUCGAUAUAGGCCUUUCAAAGGAGUACUGUUCUAACCUCCUCAAGAACGACCCUGCAAACCCCAAUUGCAAUCACACCGAUUUUUCCGGAGGUGUUUCUCAAUAUCCUCUACGCAAGCCUCUAGCAUCAGCUUUGUACCAGUCUAUAUCUUCUGGAACUUUGAUCCAUGAAGACAGUUCCAUGAAGCAGAAAGAAGAAAAGUGGAAUCAAUUGGUUCUAGCAAAGGGGUCUGAAUUAGUAAAUAUGUUGAAAACUAUUGACUUUGAAUUUCAUGUUCAGGAGCCUUUCUUUUCCCAGCUCAAAGAUGGCCUAAAAACAACUGAAGGAAGAUGUGCUGUUGGUGACUAUAAUAAAAUUGGAUCAGGAGCACUGCUUCUCUUCAACAAGUGUUUCGUGCUUCAAGUUCAGGAUGUCAUCAGGUAUGCUUCGUUUUCUGAGAUGUUGGAAGCAGAGAGUCUAGCAAAAGUCCUUCCUGGAGUAAAAACCACAGAAGAAGGUGUGCAGAUUUACCGGAAGUUUUACACAGAAGAGAAGGAAAGGUCAAAUGGAGUCCUUGCAAUUCGUGUUACGAAGCCAGCUGCUCAGCUUUACAUUCCUUUGGCUAGCAUACUUUUGGGAUUGAGUUAUGAGGGUGUUCAGAGGCUUUUGGGUCUCACUCGUACAGCAGGAACAAUUCCAGAGGCUCUUCCUCCGCCAAGAUCAACUCUGCUUUUGUCAUUUUUGUUGCCUCAUAAUCCAGAGGUUAAAGGUAGCAUCUUGACUGAUGGAGCUAGGGCCUUAGCUAAGCACAUCAACAGGAGCAGUGAUGGAUACUGGGGUAGUUUCAAUGGAAGUGAUUCCGAUAAAAACAGACUUGCUGUUGAUGUCAUUACUCGCUUAAUAGAUCAUUGUUGCUGGCAAAAUAUGCAUAUUGUUCCACCACAUGGGGUGGUCUUUGAGAUAAGGAUUGCUGAUGGUUAUGGUGCUCGAUGGUCUGAAGACGGAACAAAGUUAAAAAUCAGAUCUUGACAACCCAAUCUCCAAAGAAUUUGCAGGAUAUAAGUGGUGAAAAAACUUCCUAUGGAUGUUGAAAAAAGUUCUCUCAGAUAACACAGGACAAGCCACAGUUUUGAAAUGAUUCCCUGUAAAACAACAUUGGCUGCCAUCAGGUGGACUAAAAUUCACCUGUUUAAAGAUAACACCUAGCAAACAAUAGGAAAUUGUAUAAACAGUUCAUUGGAUUUCUUGAACCAUACAUGAUGGAAGGCCACUCAAAAGGAUGGAUGCACUGACUCUACUCCAGGAGACAGUUACUUUGGCCCUCUCAACUGUAAAAGUGUGCCUUCAGUGGGAAUUGUUCUAUUCUCAGUCAUAACUAGAAGACAUUAAGUAUAAGCACAAGUCUCAACUCUAAAAUUUUUCAGGCUGCAUGUAUGCUCUUUCCUUUUAAAACUGAAACCAAACAUUCAAUGUAUUUGCAAGACAUGGUGUCAGUCCUUGACCCAUGCACCCCAUUAUGGUCCUUCGUUCUAUAGUUGCUACGGUGUCAGAAAUAUGAACUAGUCUCUUGUGAUUUAUAUAUUUUUAUUUUUUUGCUUGAA